AGGGUUUGAUUAUGGCUCAGGACGAACGCUGGCGGUGCGCCUUAUGCAUGCAAGUCGAGCGAAGCUUUUCAGUAGUUUACUACAGAAAAUGACUGAGCGGCGAACGGGUGAGUAACGCGUGAGCAAUCUACCUUAGUUACAGGGAUAGCCCGAGGAAACUCGGAUUAAUACCUGAUAUUCUUUAUUUCUCGCAUGAGAAUAAAAGGAAAGGUCAGCCGAACUAAGAUGAGCUCGCGUUCUAUCAGCUUGUUGGUGAGGUAAAAGCUUACCAAGGCUACGACGGAUAGCUGGUCUGAGAGGACGAUCAGCCACACUGGGACUGAGACACGGCCCAGACUCCUACGGGAGGCUGCAGCAGGGAAUAUUGUGCAAUGAACGAAAGUUUGACACAGCGACACCGCGUGUGGGAUGACGGAUCUAGGUUUGUAAACCACUUUCAGGAGGGAAGAAAAUGACGGUACCUCCACAAGAAGCCCCGGCCAACUACGUGCCAGCCGCCGCGGUAAUAC
rnacentral:rRNA from 1 species